rnacentral:rRNA from 1 species
GAUGAACGCUGGCGGCGUGCCUAAUACAUGCAAGUCGAGCGAACAGACGAGGAGCUUGCUCCUCUGACGUUAGCGGCGGACGGGUGAGUAACACGUGGAUAACCUACCUAUAAGACUGGGAUAACUUCGGGAAACCGGAGCUAAUACCGGAUAAUAUAUUGAACCGCAUGGUUCAAUAGUGAAAGACGGUUUUGCUGUCACUUAUAGAUGGAUCCGCGCCGCAUUAGCUAGUUGGUAAGGUAACGGCUUACCAAGGCAACGAUGCGUAGCCGACCUGAGAGGGGGGUCGCCACACCGGGAAGUGGACCCCGCUCCGAACCCCAAGGGGGGGAAGAGUGGGGAAAUUUUCCCCAAGGGGCGAAAGCCUAACGGAGCAACGCCGGUGGAGGAAGAAGGUUUUGCGGAUCGAAAACCUUUUUAUUUGGGAAAAAAAAAAUGUGAAAGAAACAUUGCACGUCUGAGCGGAACCAAACAAAAAAGCCCCGGUAAACCACUG